rnacentral:rRNA from 1 species
AUUGAACGCUGGCGGAAUGCUUUACACAUGCAAGUCGAACGGCAGCACGGGGCAACCUGGUGGCGAGUGGCGAACGGGUGAGUAAUAUAUCGGAACGUGCCCAAUCGUGGGGGAUAACGUAGCGAAAGUUACGCUAAUACCGCAUACGAUCUACGGAUGAAAGCGGGGGAUCGCAAGACCUCGCGCGAAUGGAGCGGCCGAUAUCAGAUUAGGUAGUUGGUGGGGUAAAGGCUCACCAAGCCAACGAUCUGUAGCUGGUCUGAGAGGACGACCAGCCACAACUGGAACUGAGACACGGUCCAGACUCCUACGGGAGGCAGCAGUGGGGAAUUUUUGGACAAUGGGCGCAAGCCUGAUCCAGCCAUUCCGCGUGCAGGAUGAAGGCCUUCGGUUGUAAACUGCUUUUGUACGGAACGAAACGGUCUGCCUAAUAACGGCAGGCUAAUGACGGUACCGUAAGAAUAAGCAACCGGCUAACUAACGUGCCAGCAGCCGCGGUAAG